GGAUCAUUGUCAAGCAAGAGUGGGGGAGAUUUUCCAACUUCUCAAUAACCUCAUGAGUUGAUCUUACAGGAAGGUGUUUGACUUGGAUGUAUAAGGUCACCUUAUGAAGAGGUCACAUGAGAAGAUGGCAGCCACUGGGAACAGCUAUGAAAGGAAAUCAUGGGAAUCACAGCUUCUAGUUCCAGUCAAGCCUUCAAGUCUCUAAAGUCCCACCUAACAUCUUAAUUACAACUUUAUGAGAGACCCUGAGCCAAAAGCACACAGGGAUGCUGCUCCUGAAAUUCCUGUAAGUGUGUGAGACAAUAAAAGCUUAUUGUUGUUUUAAGCCACUAAGUUUUAGAAUAACUUGCUGUACACCAAAGGAUAACUCAUAGCUGUCAUACUGAAUAAAAAGAACAAGUGAAUCUCUUUGGUCUCUGA